AAAAAUGGCAGUCGUGCGAUUCACAUUUUUUGUAAUGGCAGAAAAUUAAACAAUUAAGUUAAUUAGCUCAGCCAUGACAAUUUGAUCAUGUGAAAGCCAGAAGAAAGAUUUGAUCCUCAGUAGUUAUUUAUCUGUAGAGAGCUGUCAGCUCCAAAGUCAAACCAAUUCCAACGGUACAAAAUCUUGGAUCUUAACCAUUCAUUUGCUUUGCUUCUAC
rnacentral:lncRNA from 1 species